AACCUUUAUCUGUUGUAAUUUAAAUGAGCACAUUUUUUGUUAGACACCUCAAUUGUUAUUUCAUAUAAUUUUGGUGACUUCACAGCAAUUGCUAUACAGCUAGCCAAAUCAAUACAACAUUUAGCAAGAUAGCAUGCUUAGCUAACAUUAAAUAAAAAAUCUCCCUACUUUAUAUCUCAUAGCUGCACUCUUGUCACAAUUUCUUAAUGAAAUUGGCCUAUGUUGUCUCUAUAACCUGUUAUUGUUUUAUUGUUACAGCCACUGACUGUGUGCAGGACAACAGAGUGGAAAAUUGUCACGUCGUGACCAUAGAAAGCUUUUAUUUCUAUGGUGGAGUAGGUCAGGGCGUGACUGGGGGGUUAGUCUAGUUUAUUAUUUAUAUGUGGUGUUCUAGGUUUGUUUUUCUAUGUUGGUGAUUGUGUAUGAUUCCCAAUUAGAGGCAGCUGGUAAUCAUUGUCUCUAAUUGGGGAUCAUACUUAAGUAGCAUGUUUUCCACCUGUGGGUGAUGGGAUAUUGUAUUUUGAGUAAGUGUAUGUAGCACCUCUGUAGUCACGUUUCAUUUAUUCUAUAUUGUUUUUGUAUUUUGCUUAGUUUCACUUUAUAAUAAAUAUGUGGAACGCUGCUCACGCUGCGGCUUGGUCUGAUCAUUCCAACGAACGUGACAAAAAUCUGUUCCCGAUUUAAAAUAAUUACUGCCAAGCUCUUCAGGUAGCCAAGGAGGGUACUGAGUGCUUGAGAUUUCCUCCUAUAACUCAUCCCAUUCCUCAACAACUUCAUCACCAGACUGCUGUACUGACUGCUGACAUUGCUGACAGCGGUGACCUGUGACUAUGAGUGAUGGAGUGUCAUCGGCCGUGAGUCGUUGUCUUCCAUAGGGGGAGAAAGGGGCAAGUGACCUCGCAGGGGAUGGUGAAACCCUUCUAAUGACCCAUUUGGCGAUGUGGCCCUGAAGGUGAUUCCUGGCACACUGCCUAAAUCAUCAUACAGAAUGGAUGGGGAAAUGAUACGACCCUAAAACAACCUCAGGCUGAAGACUGACAGAGAAAGAUCACUUCAAAUGAGAAGAGGCUCAAACUCGGAGCUGUCCACGGCUUCACAGCCUCACUGCAGAUCAAGAGUAGUCGUACAGGCUGGAGCUUGGAGCUUGAAGGCCAAGGCAGGAGACAACUCACUGCACAGCCAAUGGCAGACGGAUGGACCAACAAGUUUACUGAGCUCUGCUGUCUCUUACUGGGAAGCCUGAACUUUAACUUUGUAUGGGGUCGAAGAAAUAAACUGUGAUUUUGGAAUGGCACAUACUGUACAUUAGCCUUGUGACUCACUUGUGGCUGCGGAAGACUUAUGAAAACACAAUCACUGACAAGCGGAAAAGUACUGUACAAGGUGGUGGAGAAAGGAAUGUGCAUUUAGUGGUGUAAAAUGAAACAGUAAUAGAAAAGGAAAUCAUAGUAGCUCACUAAAAUGAAUCACAGGCGCGGCUGGUAGCCCAGUUGUUAGAGUGUUGGACUUGUAACCGAAAGGUUACAACAUCGAAUCCCCGAGCUGACAAGGUAAAAAUCUGUCGUUCUGUCUGUUCUGUUCCUAGGCCGUCAUUGAAAAUAAGAAUUUGUUCUUAACUGACUUGCCUUGUCAAAUAAAGGUCAAAUAAAAAUUUAAAAAAUCACAGGAAUAGAAUAUCAAAUGCAACUGUGUCAAAUGUCAGCGGGUUUAAAAAGUACAGCGGGGUGGAUGAACAAAGACAGGAGCCCAUUGGAGCAAAACACGUGAAGGAACCCAGACAUUCUGCAUGCUUCAGAGAGAGCUGACAACAAUGAAAAUGCUAGCAUUGUUCGAAGGGCUCCUAUUUCAUCAGCUAUUCAAUUAAAUGUAGCAUGUAAAUGUUUCCCCCAUGUGGGGUUCUCAAAGUCAAGUGAAUGGCUCUUGCUGCGUCCAACUUCAGUGCUGCAUCUCACAUGACUUCCCAUGUUGCCAGAUUUGGAUGGGCACUUCAAAUUAGCUCAUAAUAAAUCUAUAUAUUUAUACUGUAAACAUGUAUAUCCUAUAUAAAUUCGCUUUUACUCUACAUUUUAUCCACCCUUUACCCAUUUUGUUUAUAAUGUAUCUGAACUUUGUGUAAA